rnacentral:lncRNA from 1 species
CAGGACCUCACUAAGUUGCCAAGGCUGGCCUUGAACUUGCCAUUCUCGGGCCUCAGCCUACUACGUUGCUAUGAUUACAGGUGUGCACCAUCAUGCCCAGCUAACUGACAAUUCUCAGGAGCAAUGGUCAGGUGUAUGAUGGGAUGUCUCUCUAUUGAGACUCAUCUGAUGUUUUCCUCAUGAUUAGACAAAGUGUGGGUUUGGGAAGGGAAGAUCACAGAGGUAAAGAGCUGUUGUCAUCACGUCAUGUCAAGAGUAAACACUGUCGGUGCCAUUUGUCACUGUUGAUGUUGAGAUCAGUCACAUGGUUUCCAUCCUUCCACGGCCCUCAAGCAGCAUGCUUCCUGUACCUGGCAAUUGGAGCUGGGCUCUUUCUGCUCUUAAGACAAACACAUUGGCCUGUUGAUCAGCCCUCUCUGGCUGUCCUCACUGUCCCAGGUCUUGCAAGUCGUGGAGUAGAUCAGAGACCUUCCAGCUAGAACCUUGUAAGAGAGCAUGAAACAGAAUGUUUUGUGUGCCAGGUCAUUGUAACCGACAGUUUGCAGGUACUCUGAAGAAGAGUCUCCAGGUGUCUCCAGGCUGUCAUGGUGGUUGGACGGAGGGAGCAUUUCUCAAUUUUGGCUGCAUGUUAGAAUUAGCGAGGGAGAUUCUUAAAAGUUACUGAUGCCUUGGUCACAUGUCCCUGAAUUUAGAAUUUAAUGGAGCUUAGUUGAUUCCCAGAUAUCUUUCCUUUGUUUUUCUUUUUGUUUUUCCUUUUCUUUUCUUUUUUCUUAAAUCUCUCCACGUGAUCCUAAGGUGUAG